rnacentral:sRNA from 1 species
GCUGGGUGCAGUGGCGCACACCUGUAAUUCCAGUGGCUUGGGAAGCUGAGGCUGGAGGAUUGAGAGUUCAAAGCCAGCCUCAG